rnacentral:tRNA from 1 species
GUGCCCGCGUGGAUCUUGCGCGCCAUCGGAGCGAGUGACCGUCGGUCUACGGAACCGAAGGUCAGAGGUUCGAAUCCUCUCGGGCGCG